rnacentral:rRNA from 1 species
UACGUAGGUGGCAAGCGUUGUCCGGAUUUAUUGGGUUUAAAGGGUGCGUAGGCGGUCUGAUAAGUCAGUUGUGAAAUACGGCAGCUUAACUGUCGAGGUGCAAUUGAUACUGUUGGACUAGAGUACUGAUGAGGUAAGCGGAAUGGACGGUGUAGCGGUGAAAUGCUUAGAUAUCGUCCAGAACACCGAUAGCGAAGGCAGCUUACUAAGGAGUAACUGACGCUGAGGCACGAAAGCGUGGGGAUCAAACAGG